AGCAGCCGCGGUAAUUCCAGCUCCAAUAGCGUAUAUUAAAGUUGUUGCAGUUAAAAAGCUCGUAGUUGAAUUUCGGGGUCAGUACGCUGGUCGUGCCUUCGGUAUGUACUGGUGUUACUGGUUCCUACCUUCUGACGAACCGUCAUGUCAUUAAUUUGGUGUGGCGGGGAAUCAGGACUGUUACUUUGAAAAAAUUAGAGUGUUUAAAGCAGGCUCGCGCUUGAAUACAUUAGCAUGGAAUAAUGAAAUAGGACGUUCGAUCCUAUUUUGUUGGUUUCUAGGAUUGACGUAAUGAUUAAUAGGGAUAGUCGGGGGCAUUAGUAUUCAAUUGUCAGAGGUGAAAUUCUUGGAUUUAUUGAAGACUAACUACUGCGAAAGCAUUUGCCAAGGAUGUUUUCAUUAAUCAAGAACGAAAGUUAGGGGAUCGAAGACGAUCAGAUACCGUCGUAGUCUUAACCAUAAACUAUGCCGACUAGGGAUCGGAUGAUGUUAAUUUUUUAAUGACUCAUUCGGCGCCUUA
rnacentral:rRNA from 1 species